rnacentral:miRNA from 1 species
UUCUAACAACUACAGAAAGUGU